UUUGACUCGGACUCCUAGGGAAGCAUGGGAGUCUCGGCCUGCGACCCCCCAGAUGCCAAUCAAGCCCCAGGACAUGACUGACAGCACUGGUGACCCUGUUCAAGAGAAUGACCUGGUCCAGGCCGUGCUUCAAGGUGCUUCCCUACUGUCUUCUCUGGAUGAUGCUGAUGCUUCUGACGUUCCCGUGAACAUGCCCAGCCAAGAACCACCCUGGAUGGAAGCCAACAUCGGGUCUUCUGGCUCCACUGGUGAAGCCUGG